UUUAAGGCUGAGACACGACGUCGAGCACCUACGGGUGUGAAGUCAUUGAUGCCAUGCUUCCAGGAAAAGCCUCUAAGCUUCAGAUUGUAAGGAAUCGUACCCCAAACCGACACAGGUGGUCGGGUAGAGAAUACCAAGGCGCUUGAGAGAACUCGGGUGAAGGAACUAGGCAAAAUGGUACCGUAACUUCGGGAGAAGGUACGCUCU
rnacentral:rRNA from 1 species